rfam:Salmo salar isolate Sally breed double haploid chromosome ssa08, whole genome shotgun sequence.
GUGUUGCAAGUUUGUAAGUCGCUCUGGAUAAGAGCGUCUGCUAAAUGACUAAAA